rnacentral:rRNA from 1 species
AGCCUGAUCAGCCAUGCCGCGUGUGUGAAGAAGGCCUUCGGGUUGUAAAGCACUUUCAGCGAGGAAGAACGCCUUGGGAUUAAUACUCCCGAGGAAAGACAUCACUCGCAGAAGAAGCACCGGCUAACUCCGUGCCAGCAGCCGCGGUAAUACGGAGGGUGCAAGCGUUAAUCGGAAUUACUGGGCGUAAAGCGCGCGUAGGUGGCUAAGUCAGCCAGGUGUGAAAGCCCCGGGCUCAACCUGGGAACGGCAUCUGGAACUGCUUGGCUAGAGUGCAGGAGAGGAAGGUAGAAUUCCCGGUGUAGCGGUGAAAUGCGUAGAGAUCGGGAGGAAUACCAGUGGCGAAGGCGGCCUUCUGGACUGACACUGACACUGAGGUGCGAAAGCGUGGGUAGCAAACAGGAUUAGAUACCCUGGUAGUCCACGCCGUAAACGAUGUCAACUAGCCGUUGGGUCCCUUGAGGACUUAGUGGCGCAGCUAACGCAAUAAGUUGACCGCCUGGGGAGUACGGCCGCAAGGUUAAAACUCAAAUGA